rnacentral:rRNA from 1 species
GGGGUUUUUAGUUUUACUGGUGCUUUGGUUGGUUUGAGGUGCUCAGAGGCUCCCAUUCUCAUCCACUCAACGACUGUGCACUUUUGAACGCAAGUGAGUCGUCAGUUCCCCUAAGUUGGGAGUGACUUGAUUUGCUUCGUUUAUUAUAAAAUCCUUUUAAGGCCUGGAAAAAUGUUUGGCUCCUUGGAAGGCAAAUGGAAUAACACUUUUCAACAACGAACUCUUGGCUCUUCGCAUCAAUGAAAACGCCACCGAAUUGCGAUAAUUAUGUGGAUUGGCAAAUUUCGUGGAACCUCCAAAUCUUUGACGCCCCCUGGGCUUCUUGGUAUUUCGAAGAAGCGGCUGGUUGGAUGGUUAGGUAAUCCCCACCCCCUGGGUUUGGUAAAAAUAAAACUUCGGGGUUGGGUUUGGGAGGCUAUGGCGGCCUCCCAGGCCGGUCCCUCUGGAAGCAUUAGCUGGGCCUUUGGUCCAUGGCAUGGUGGAAUAAUUUAUCUUCACAGGGGCGCCUGGCAGCCAAAGUUUGUUCCUAAUUGCCCAAUUGGAAACAUUGGAAAGGACUUUGAUCCUUUGACAUUUUUGACCUCAAAUCAGGAGGACUACCCGCUGAACUUAAGCAUAUCAAUAAGCGGGAGAAAUAA